UACAGAGGCCCCAAGCAUUAUCCGGAUUUACUGGGCGUAAAGGGUGCGUAGGCGGUUAUAUUAGUCAGAUGUAAAAUCCUGGGGCUCAACCCCAGACUCGCAUUUGAAACGGUAUAACUAGAAUAAGUCAGAGGCAAGCAGAACUCAUGGUGUAGGGGUGAAAUCCGUUGAUAUCAUGGGGAAUACCAAAUGCGAAGGCAGCUUGCUGGGACUUUAUUGACGCUGAGGCACGAAAGCGUGGGUAGCGAAUCGG
rnacentral:rRNA from 1 species